rnacentral:rRNA from 1 species
GACGAACGCUGGCGGCGUGCUUAACACAUGCAAGUCGAACGGAAAGGCCCUGCUUUUGUGGGGUGCUCGAGGGGCGAACGGGUGUGUAACACGUGAGUAACCUGCCCUGGACUUUGGUAUAACUUCAGGCAACUGGGGCUAAUACCGGAUAGGAGCUCCUGCUGCAUGGUGGGGGUUGGAAAGUUUCGGCGGUUGGGGAUGGACUCGCGGCUUAUCAGCUUGUUGGUGGGGUAGUGGCUUACCAAGGCUUUGACGGGUAGCCGGCCUGAGAGGGUGACCGGCCACAUUGGGACUGAGAUACGGCCCAGACUCCUACGGGAGGCAGCAGUGGGGAAUAUUGCACAAUGGGCGGAAGCCUGAUGCAGCAACGCCGCGUGCGGGAUGACGGCCUUCGGGUUGUAAACCGCUUUCGCCUGUGACGAAGCGUGAGUGACGGUAAUGGGUAAAGAAGCACCGGCUAACUACGUG